rnacentral:rRNA from 1 species
UACGUAGGCAGCAAGCGUUGUUCGGAGUUACUGGGCGUAAAGGGUGUGUAGGCGGUUCUUUAAGUUUGGUGUAAAAUCUCCCGGCUCAACCGGGAGGGUGCGCCGAAUACUGAGGGACUAGAGUGCGGGAGAGGAAAGUGGAAUUCCUGGUGUAGCGGUGAAAUGCGUAGAUAUCAGGAGGAACACCGGUGGUGUAGACGGCUUUCUGGACCGUAACUGACGCUGAAACACGAAAGCGUGGGUAGCAAACAGG